AUGCAAGUCGAGCGGGUGUAGCAAUACAUCAGCGGNAGACGGGUGAGUAACGCGUGGGAACGUACCUUUUGGAACGGAACAACCCAGGGAAACUUGGGCUAAUACCGGAUAAGCCCUUACGGGGAAAGAUUUAUCGCCGAAAGAUCGGCCCGCGUCUGAUUAGCUAGUUGGUGAGGUAAUGGCUCACCAAGGCGACGAUCAGUAGCUGGUCUGAGAGGAUGAUCAGCCACAUUGGGACUGAGACACGGNCCAAACUCCUACGGGAGGCAGCAGUGGGGAAUAUUGGACAAUGGGGGCAACCCUGAUCCAGCCAUGCCGCGUGAGUGAUGAAGGCCCUAGGGUUGUAAAGCUCUUUUGUGCGGGAAGAUAAUGACGGUACCGCAAGAAUAAGCCCCGGCUAACUUCGUGCCAGCAGCCGCGGUAAUACGAAGGGGGCUAGCGUUGCUCGGAAUCACUGGGCGUAAAGGGUGCGUAGGCGGGUUUUUAAGUCAGGGGUGAAAUCCUGGAGCUCAACUCCAGAACUGCCUUUGAUACUGAAGAUCUUGAGUCCGGGAGAGGUGAGUGGAACUGCGAGUGUA
rnacentral:rRNA from 1 species